rnacentral:rRNA from 1 species
AGAGUUUGAUUCUGGCUCAGAACGAACGCUGGCAGCGUGGAUUAGGCAUGCAAGUCGAACGGGAAGCCGUUGAUCAAUUCUUCGGAAAAGUGAAGCGGUGGAGAGUGGCGGAAGGGUGAGGAACACGUGGGUAAUCUGCCCUCAAGUCGGGGAUAACCCCGCGAAAGCGGAGCUAAUACCGGAUGUGGUCGAGCCGCGCAUGCGGCAACGACUGAAGGUGGGGAUCUUUCGAGACCUGCCGCUUGAGGAGGGGCCCGCGUCCGAUCAGCUUGUUGGUGAGGUAACGGCUCACCAAGGCUGCGACCGGUAGCUGGUCUGAGAGGAUGGUCAGCCACACUGGGACUGAGACACUGCCCAGACUCCUACGGGAGGCUGCAGUCGAGGAUCAUUGUCAAUGCGCGAAAGCGUGAACAUGCGACGCUGCGUUGAGGAUGAAGGCCUUCGGGUCGUAAACUCCUGUCAUCCGGGAAAAACGAUUCCGUCCCGAAUACGGGCGGGAAGUGAUGGUACCGGAAGAGGAAGCCACGGCUAACUCUGUGCCAGCAGCCGCGGUAAUACAGAGGUGGCGAGCGUUGUUCGGAUUUACUGGGCGUAAAGGGUGCGUAGGUGGCUUCGUAUGUCGGGUGUGAAAGCCCACGGCUCAACCGUGGAACUGCACCUGAAACUGCGGGGCUAGAGUGCAGGAGGGGAGAGCGGAAUUCUUGGUGUAGCGGUGAAAUGCGUUGAUAUCAAGAAGAACACCGGUGGCGAAGGCGGCUCUCUGGAAUGCUACUGACACUGAGGCACGAAAGCUGGGGGAGCAAACAGGAUUAGAUACCCUGGUAGUCCCAGCCGUAAACGGUGUCGACUUGGUGUGGGGGGAAUUGACCCCCUCCGUGCCGGAGCUAACGCGUUAAGUCGACCGCCUGGGGAGUACGGCCGCAAGGCUAAAACUCAAAGAAAUUGACGGGGGCCCGCACAAGCGGAGGAGCAUGUGGCUUAAUUCGAUGCAACGCGAAGAACCUUACCAGGGCUUGACAUGCAGCUGCUUCCUCCCCGAAAGGGGAGGGUCCUUCGAGGGUGCUGCACAGGUGCUGCAUGGCUGUCGUCAGUUCGUGCCGUGAGGUGUUGGGUUAAGUCCCGCAACGAACGCAACCCCUGUGGUUAGUUGCGACCACCGGUGAUGAGCCGGUGAGCACUCUAGCCAGACUGCCCGUACAAGCGGGAGGAAGGUGGGGACGACGUCAAGUCAGUAUGGCCCUUACGCCCUGGGCUGCACACGUGCUACAAUGGUCGGUACAGAGGGAUGCAAGACCGCGAGGUGGAGCAAAUCCCGAACACCGGCCCCAGUUCGGAUUGGAGUCUGAAACUCGACUCCAUGAAGUCGGAUUCGCUAGUAACGGCGCAUCAGCUACGGCGCCGUGAAUACGUUCCCGGGCCUUGUACACACCGCCCGUCACAUCAUGAAAGCCGUCUGCACCCGAAGUCGCUGAGCCAACCCCGGUCUUGCA